GACAGAGGAUGCAAGCGUUAUCCGGAAUGAUUGGGCGUAAAGCGUCUGUAGGUGGCUUUUUAAGUCCGCCGUCAAAUCCCAGGGCUCAACCCUGGACAGGCGGUGGAAACUACCAAGCUUGAGUACAGUAGGGGCGGAGGGAAUUUCCGGUGGAGCGGUGAAAUGCAUAGAUAUCGGGAAGAACACCAACGGCGAAAGCACUCCGCUGGGCUGGAUACUGACACUGACAGACGAAAGCUAGGGUAGCGAAAGGG
rnacentral:rRNA from 1 species